UACAACGCACUACCUGUUCAUAGUAGUCGGUGCUGUCAACAGCACACUGCUCACCAUCAACGCAGGGGACUACAUCUUCUACACAGACUGGGCGUGGACGUCCUUCGUUGUGUUCUCGGUGUUGCCGUCGACGUUGUUUACUGUAUGCGCAAUACACUAUUCGUUAUUCAACUGUGUUCCAGGCACCGCAAACUUACACGCAACAUACUUGGCCAUAUACACAUGAGUGGCAUCGGUCGAAGGGUUUGCACUUGUAUUCUCCUACUACUUCGUUGGGCGACAAGAGGCAACCCGCACGCUCCCAUGCUUGUUUGCCGUAAGAUGGUUGGCCUGUCCUUCCCUCUGUUAAUCAUGGUCAACCUGUUGCUUGUAAGGGACCCGCUCGAGGUGGCCUUAAAGUAUCCGAGACCGCCUCUGCCCGCGUACAUGACGCCUAUAGAGCCACAGGUAGGGAAGUUCUACAACUCGCCUGUCGCCCUGGGUUCAGGUGCCGGUGCAGUGCUCACGGUACCCAUCGCUUCGUUAGGUGCAAAACUAAACACGUGG
rnacentral:rRNA from 1 species